GAUCCUGGCUCAGGAUGAACGCUAGCGACAGGCUUAACACAUGCAAGUCGAGGGGCAUCAUGAGGUAGCAAUACCUUGAUGGCGACCGGCGCACGGGUGAGUAACGCGUAUGCAACCUGCCCGAUACCGGGGUAUAGCCCAUGGAAACGUGGAUUAACACACCAUAGUACUUUUAUCCUGCCUGGGAUGGGAGUUAAAUGUUCAAGGUAUCGUGAGUGGGCAUGCCGUACUUAUUUAAGG
rnacentral:rRNA from 1 species